rnacentral:sRNA from 1 species
GGAUAUGAAGGUGAUCUAGCUGUUACAUCUGUCACCCUAUUUAUCACCAGGAUUGAUUCAGCUGAUCUGGCUGGCUAGACACAUGUUCCCUUCCUCUCCUACUGCUACAUGUGCAUCCCUCCCGAAGCUGGACAGCUGGACAACCAUCCCUGAUAAAGAAGGACCAUAUUUUGGUCAAGGGUUUAUGAGUAGCUGAGUUCUCCUGCUAGAAUCAGCAAACAAGCAUUCAAUUUGUUGUCAAUUCUUAACAAAUUGUGGACCUUA